rnacentral:lncRNA from 1 species
CCAAAGUCGUGCUGCUGUUCUCAGCUUAUUUCCCCAUUUCCUCCUCUGGCUCACAGCAGUACCGUUGAAUUGCAGGGUGGGGUGGGAAGGAUACUGAUUCAGUCGUUAUGAGAGUUUUGCUGCAGUUGAAUGCACCCUUCAUGCCAGCUCAUUAGGACACAGUUCCUCUGUGUGUUCCGUGCUCUCUAGCCAGGUCCCAGAGCUGUUUGUGUUGUCUAGUGGGACCAGGCUAUUGACUAGACAAGACCAACAGAUCUGGGACCAGGCUAGUGAUGAGACAACACAAACAGAUCUGGGACCAGGCUAGUGAUGAGACAACACAAACAGAUCUGGGACCAGGCUAUUGAUGAGACAACAUAAACAGAUCUGGGACCAGGCUAUUGAUGAGACAACACAAACAGAUCUGGGACCAGGCUAUUGAUGAGACAACACAAACAGAUCUGGGACCAGGCUAUUGAUGAGACAACACAAACAGAUCUGGGACCAGGCUAUUGAUGAGACAACACAAACAGAUCUGGGACCAGGCUACGAUCUCUCUGCUCCAGCUUUUAACACAGUGGAAUGAGGACCUGAGCCCUAGGACCAUGCCUCAGGACUACCUGGUAUGAUGACUCCUUGCUGUCCCCAGUCCACCUGGCCGUGCUGCUGCUCCAGUUUCAACUGUUCUGCCUGCGGCUAUGGAACCCUGACCUGUUCACCGGACGUGCUUGUUGCACCCUCGACAACUACUAUGAUUAUUAUUAUUUGACCAUGCUGGUCAUUUAUGAACAUUUUAACAUUUUAACAUCUUGACCAUGUUCUGUUAUAAUAUCCACCCUGCACAGCCAGAAGAGGACUGGCCACCCCUCAUAGCCUGGUUCCUCUCUAGGUUUCUUCCUAGGUUUUUGGCCUUUCUAGGGAGUUUUUCCUAGGGAGUUUUUCCUAGACACCGUGCUUCUUUCACAUGCUUUGCUUGCUGUUUGGGGUUUUAGGCUGGGUUUCUGUACAGCACUUUGAGAUAUCAGCUGAUGUACGAAGGGCUAUAUAAAAAUAAAUUUGAUUGAUUGAUUGAUUUGAUUUACAUUUACGUCAUUUAGCAGACGCUCUUAUCCAGAGCGACGUAAAUUGAGAAGAGCGUGGGGCCUAGGAUCGAGCCUUGGGGUACUCCCUUGGUGACAGGCAGUGGCUGAGACAACAGAUGUUCUGACUUUAUACACUGCGCUCUUUGAGAGAGGUAGUUAGCAAACCAGGCCAAAGACCCUUCAGAGACACCAAUACUCCUUAGCCGACCCACGGGAAUAGAAUGGUCUACCGUAUCAAAAGCUUUGGCCAAGUCAAUAAAAAUAGCAGCACAACAUUGCUUAGAAUCAAGGGAAAUGGUGACAUCAUUGAGGACCUUUAAGGUUGCUGUGACAUCCAUAACCUGAGCGGAAACCAGAUUGCAUACCAGAGAGAAUACUAUAGACAUCAAGAAAGCCAGUCAGUUGAUUAUUGACUUUAGUUGAUUAUUAAGUUUUUCCAACACUUUUGAUAAACAGGGCAAGAUAGAAAUUGGCCUACAUUUCUAUAAUAUAUUUCUAUACAAUAUAUUCACUCAUAUGUCAUCACAUACUUGCAGACAAAUACCACAGCUAGGGGCUGUAUCCAGGCACUCCGUGUUGCGACGUGCAUAAGAACAUCCCUUAGCCGUGGGAUAUUGGCAAAUAUAGCACACCCCCUCGAGCCUUAUUGCUUAAAUAGGAGAGGUCAGCUUCCGUCAGUCCCUUGAAAUUAACAACCACAUUGGUCAUUAUUACAAGGACUUCCUCGGCUGUAAACCCAUUGACUGCUGCAAGUAUGUGAUGUCAUAUUACACAAUACCAAUAAAUGAAAGUCAAUGCAAUACUCACAUCUACCUAAAUAUUUUACAAGAAUUUAUCUCUUAUGAAUACCUGAAUAAUACAUAUAUAUUUUUAAAUAGCUGCUAAGGAUAAUACACAACACAUAUGAAAUAUAUAAAAUAUGCACAAUCAUAUAAAUUGAUGAUCCAUAAUUUUUUUUAAAUAGAAAAUACAUCUAUUUCAUUGUCAGUCAGUGUAUUUAGUAAUCUACUUAUUUUUAUACAACUAUGGUUAUACCCACUACUAUGUUAAUCAUAAUUACCCAAUAAGAAGGACUGAAUAGAACAUACAUCAACCAAGUAACCAUGCUAGUAGCUACAUCAUGUAACCAUGCUAGCGACAUCAUGUAACCAUGCUAGCGACAUCAUGUAACCAUGCUAGUAACGUCAUGUAACCAUGCUAGCGACGUCAUGUAACCAUGCUAGCGACGUCAUGUAACCAUGCUAGCGACAUCAUGUAACCAUGCUAGCGACGUCAUGUAACCAUGCUAGCAACAUGUAACCAUGCUAGCGACAUCAUGUAACCAUACUAGCGACAUCAUGUAACCAUGCUAGCUACAUCAUGUAACCAUGCUAGCGACAUCAUGUAACCAUGCUAGCAAUGUCAUGUAACCAUGCUAGCGACAUCAUGUAACCAUGCUAGCGACAUCAUGUAACCAUGCUAGCGACAUCAUGUAACCAUGCUAGCGACGUCAUGUAACCAUGCUAGCGACGUCAUGUAACCAUGCUAGCAACAUCAUGCAACCAUGAUUUUUCUUUAUGGAUUAAAAUAUAUAUAUAUUUAUAUAUUAUAUGUAUUAAUUAUAUGAUGAAUAGAAACGGAGGAGUUAUGUCACAUAUGCAGCUAUCGAAAAUAUAUGGGAAUGUCUGCUCAAUCCAAACUAACAACCAACUGAUUAACCAUGCUAGCGACAUCAUGUUAGCAUGGAGGAGGCAAGUGGAAUAGGGAGAAGGUAGGGAACUUGUUUGUCUGCCAUAUAUUAAAGAUACAAAUUGGCUGAAAGGAACUGGCAUAAAUAGAAAAAUAUACCAGUUUCAUUUGAGGACAAAAGUAUUGACAGGUGUGCCAUACAGGUUGCAAAAUAAAUGGGAAGAGAUUUUCGAUGAACUGAUUCCAUGGCACAUGGUUUAUGAACUGAUAAAAAAACACUUGAUUCAACACUUAGAGAUUUUAAAAGUACAUUUUUAUACAAAAUUCUUGCCACCAACAGAACGCUAUAUAUAUAGGGCAUAAAACAAUCUCAGCUCUGUAGAUUUUACAGGAAGAGACAGAAUCACUUGAUCAUUUAUUCUGGUAUUGCCCCAAUGUAGCUUGUUUCUGAUCACAGGUUCAGGAAUGGUAAAACAUUUUUUUUUAAAUCACAACAUUCAUUUAAAAUUAACCUUACAAAUAGCAGUGUUGGGCAAUCUGGAAAGCCAUAGCCAAUCAAUAAAUAAUAUAUUAAUACUCGUAGGAAAGGGUUUUCAUCUUCAGCUCACAAUCUGUAACAAACAGCUUCAGUUAAUUUCAGAGUGGGUGGCAAUGUCACGUCCUGACCAUAGAAAGCUUUUAUUUUCUAUGGUAGAGUAGGUCAGGGCGUGACAGGGGGUUUUGUCUAGUUCAUUUAUGUCUAUGUUGGUUCUAGUUUAUUUUUUCUAUGUUGAGGGUUUUGUCUAGUUUCUGUAUUUCUAUGUUGUUGUUUUUUUGGGAUGAUCUCCAAUUAGAGGCAGCUGGUGAUCGUUGUCUCUAAUUGGGGAUCAUAUUUAAGUUGUUGUUUUUCCCACUAGGUUUUGUGGGAGAUUAUUUUGAGGUUGUGUAUGUUUCACCUCUUCGUCACGGUUUGUUGUUUUGUUUAUUAGUUUAUUGUAUGUCUUGCAUAGUUUCACAGUUAAAUAAAAAUGUGGAACGAUACACACGCUGCGCCUUGGUCCCAUUCUUUAGACAAUCGUGACAGAAUCUCCCACCACCAAAGGACCAAGCAGCGUGGUAAACAGGAAUGGACAUGGGAGGAAAUAUUGGACAGGAAAGGACCGUGGAGGCAGGAAGGGGAGUAUCGCCGUCCAAAGGAGGAGUUUGAAGCAGCGAGAGCAGAACGGCGAUAUUACGAGGCAUUAUAUCAUCAAGGCAAGCACGAGAGGCAGCCGCCCCCCAAAAAAAUGUUUUGGGGGGGUACAUGGGGAAUUUUGUGGAGUCAGGUUUGGGACCUGCGCCAACUCCUCGUGCUAACCGUGGAGAGCUGAGGGGUGAACCAGAGCCAGUCAGGGAGACGAGUGAGGAUCUCAACCCAAGAUUCCGGAGAGCGGUGUUGGCAUUGAGAGCGCUGCAGAGCUGGCGUGCUGAGGAGCGUGACACCAAUCCGGUGUCAUAUGCACCAGUUUCACGCAUCUGGCCUUCAGUGCGCCUCCCCAGUCUAGUACGUCCUGUGUCUCCUCCACUCGCU